rnacentral:misc_RNA from 1 species
AUCAAAUCGAGCUCCACAAGAAAUUUCUCUCAACACAAAUUUUAUCAUAAUAACAAAAUUUUCCGAGAAUCCAACCCAAUUUUUUUUUUCUAUGAAACCCAUAAUUUUCUGAGAAUCUAACCGAUAACUUAACUAAAUGAAGUGGCCCCAUUAACAUCCACCCUUUCACAACAAGUAAACAAUCGUAAACAGAACGGCAGUAAACGAGCAUUUCUUUUGGUUCUUCAACGAAGGAAACAGCUAAGCUCAUCUUCAACCAGGGACCCUGAAUCUUUAUCCUUUUCUAUGUCGACAGCUCUAACUAUAUUCUUUUCAAUUUUCUCUCUACCCAAAAUUUUCUUGUUUCAGAUUUCAAUGGCAACUCUAGAUCCCAUCCAAGAAACCUUUCUCCUUUGCCUUUCUACCCAUUCCUUACCCUACCCACCAAUCUCUCAAGUCACCUAUUUUCCCAGCAGUCCUCAUUACGCUUCCGUCUUACAAUCAUACAUAAGAAACCUCAGAUUCACAUCCUCUGCGACCCUAAAGCCUCUGUUCAUUGUAACCCCUACCCAUGUUUCUCAUAUUCAAGCUUCGAUUAUCUGCUCCAAAAUUCUUGGCUUGGAGAUGAGAAUUCGUAGUGGAGGCCAUGAUUAUGAUGGUCUUUCUUAUAUAUCAAGCGUGCCGUUUAUCAUUCUUGACAUGUUCAAUCUGCGAUCUGUAAGUGUGGAUGUAGAAGAUGAAAGUGCUUGGGUGGAAUCAGGUGCUACUCUAGGCGAAGUUUUUUAUUGGAUUGCUAAAAAAAGCAGGAUUCAUGGAUACCCAGCUGGGGUUUGUCCUACGGUUGGUGUUGGAGGCCAUUUAAGUGGAGGUGGAUAUGGAAACAUGAUGAGGAAGUAUGGGUUGUCUGUUGACAAUAUUUUGGAUGCAAUCAUAGUUGAUGCUAAUGGGAGAGUGUUGGAUAGAGAAGCAAUGGGAGAGGAUCUCUUCUGGGCUAUUAGAGGAGGAGGUGGAGCUAGCUUUGGGGUCAUUGUUUCUUGGAAAAUUAAGUUAGUUCAUGUUCCUGAAAUUGUCACUGUUUUUAGAGUUGAAAAAACAUUGGAGCAAGGUGCAUCAGACAUUGUUUAUCAAUGGCAAAAUGUUGCUGACAAGAUUCAUGAAGAUCUCUUUAUAAGGUUGGUUUUGAUCCCUGUCAUUAAAAAGGAUCAGGAAACAAUCAAAGCUAAAUUCAAUGCCCUGUUUCUCGGUAAUGCAGACAGACUUGUUGCUGUAAUGGAUGAACAGUUUCCUGAAUUGGGUUUAUCAGGCAAGGACUGCAAAGAAAUGAGCUGGAUUGAAUCAGUUUUAUUUUGGUCUAAUUAUCCAAAUGGGACUUCUGUGGAUGUUUUGCUUGAGAGACAUUCUCAAUCAGAGAAGUACUUGAAGAGGAAAUCAGAUUAUGUACAAAAUCCCAUAUCAAAGCCAGAUCUUGAAGGAAUUUGGAAGAAGAUGAUCCAACUAAAAGUCACGCUGACAUUUAAUCCAUAUGGAGGAAAAAUGAGUGAAAUUCCAGAGUCUGACACUCCAUUUCCACACAGAGCAGGGAACAUGUACAAAAUCCAAUACGCAGUGAAUUGGAAAGACGAAAAUAUUGAAACAGAGAAUCACAAAUUGGAAAUGAUAAGGCAGCUUUAUGAUUACAUGACACCAUUUGUUUCAAAAUCUCCAAGAUGUUCAUAUCUAAAUUACAGAGAUGUUGAUUUGGGUAUCAAUGAAGUUGGGAAAGAAAGCUAUGAAGAAGCAAGUCAAUGGGGGACAAAGUACUUCAAAGGCAAUUUUGACAGGUUAGUGGAAGUAAAGAGCAGGGUGGAUCCAGGUAAUUUCUUUAGAUAUGAACAAAGCAUCCCUUCUCUUGAAGCUUCCUGGAAGAGUAGAGUGGCAGGGUAGCUUGCUGCCUUGUAGAUAUGAAGCAUAUUAUUUAUGUUGUGCGAAAGAAACUCACUUUGAAGCUUACUUUCUGCUUGAGGGAAAACUAAAAUAGAAGGAAAAUGUAUUUUUCUCUUGAUUUAUUUGGAUAAAAUUCUGGACGGAAAGGAAGGGAAGUUAGUUACUAUUGUAAUAAAUAAAGUUAUACUACUAUUUAUCUUUUUCUUUUUUUCUUCACUGAAAAAUGUGUGUAGAUGGCUAAAUAAGCAAUUUGUUUUAAAUAAAUUAUUAUAAAUAAUUAAAAUGCUGUCAUUCUUCCAAAA